UGUAAGCUCACUUUUCCUCUAAUGUGGAAUAAGAUCAUGACAUCAAUAAAUAUGAGAUGCUCCUACCUUUCAUUUUUUCUGAUUAUAUGCUUGUAGAUCUGAAGUUGAUUAUGUUAGGCUAAGAUUUACCUUCUUUAUUAUCGAUAAUUGAGGUUGGCAAAAUAGUCUCAAACUUUUUUGUUCAAACAUUACAUAUUCUGAGAUGUUUGGAUGUUUCAAAACUCCAUGGACAUGCAGAAGAGAAAUGCUAUCCCCACUCGGACCAAGACAAAACUUUUACUUGUUCAAAUAACAAUUAAGGUGAAGCAGGGUCAAGAACGACGAAUCUCCCGUUUCUUCAAAACUCUUCUUUCAAAGUCUUUUAAGAAAGUCGAAGAUUUUUGGGCUUUUUUGCUCCUGCUUGUAGUAGUCCAAUUGGAUACAGAUUAGCCAAAAGCAAGCAGGUGAUAGACAUACCUGCUUGAGGACCAGAGGAGGUAGAUUACUGUUGUGGUUCUUAAGAUGGUAUUUCCUGUGAUAAUGUUGGAACCCUAAAGGAUAUAUAUUGUUUAUGUGAAAAGGUAAAGAAAUGAACUUUAAUACCUGGUCAGCUAAAAAAAAGUUCUUACAAUGCUCUUGUUGAUAAAAGUAAUGUGAUACUCUUUAGUUUUUUAGCUGAAGCUGCCUUUGACUAACAAUUCUGUUCUAUUUGGCAAAACAUGUGCUUGGCAACUAGGUGAUUUGAAAUUUAAUGCGAACAUAAAUCUAAGUUCAGCUUUCUAAUUGUGGACUUCUUAACUCUAAUCAUCAAAUUAUUAUAGAGUAGUAGUAGUAGUACCAUUGUCUAGGCAAGAAAUAAACUAUGAUGUGUUACACAUCAAUAUCAGAUUUACAGUGAUUUAAAAAAUUUUACAUGUGAAUAAAAGGUUGUGAAAUUUGAGAAAUCUUAUGAGUGCAUUGAAUUACGAGAAUACGCCAUAAGAGGUUAACUUACGAGAAAUUUUGGAACUUUUGCAAUGCAUUGUCCAAUAUAGAAGCUUAUAUCAUACACCAGAUAUAAGACAAUGGGCAAGAAAGGGUCAUAAAUUAUAUGCAACUUCAUUGAAGAGGAUGUUAGGAAGACAUGAAAAUAUUGAAGGUAAAUACUGUGUAUAUAAUUGAUUGUUGCUACUUGUGUUGAUACAGUACCUGAAAUCUAUUCUGCUCUGGGAUCUGAUAAAGAGUAAUGGGGAUGUUUGGCAUAAGUUUUUAAUUCAUUUUGGGACUUGAAAUUGGUGAUCUUCUCGCACUUUUUUUGUUGCUACAGUAUCAUUCGUAUUCUAUUUUGUUUUGCAUAUAUGUGGUAAAGCACCUAAAAUAUUUGAUUUUCUUUUCUAGCCUGGUUUUGCAAGAGCGAAAAUUUGGUGCAGCUUACCACAGUUUGAAGCCUCUAAUAGAAUUCAUUACAUUUAAAUUUGCAUACAUUGUUGGACCUUUUUUUAAAACUUUGUUUUCAUACUCCUUUAUUUUUAAUUAUUAUGGACAAAAAUAUGUGAAAUCACCUAUCAAAUUCACUAAUAAAUUAAGUA